ACAGAUAUGAAAUCAGUUGAAGAAGAAGUAACUAACUGAAGCAAACUUUGACUAACUUCCAGUACCGAACUAUUCUAGAUUAACUAGCCGAGACAAAUCAAGACUAACAGCUUUAUGCAGACUUUUCAUAACCAGUUUUCUUCUCAUUCUUCUCGGCAGCAUGUACAUCUUCUUCUUCUUCUUCUACAUAUGUUUUCUCUUUAACACUCGUGUAUGUCUUGCUUCCUCUGUUCUUAGCUUCCUCUAUUCUUCCUGGUAUCUCUUUUCCCUUGCUUUUGUUCUUCUGCAAACUUUUCUUAACAGCCCCCCUCAAAUUGGAAAUGGGUGAACACCCGAUUCCUAAUUUGAUUCGUAGCUGGUAAUGUGUAGUACGAGAGAGGGGUUUAGUAAAUAUAUCAGCAAUUUGACAGUUACUGGGAACGUAUUUGACUUGUAAUGACCCUGAUGAGACUUUUUCUCUGACAAAAUGAAAGUCUAUCUCAAUAUGUUUGGUGCGAGCAUGAAGAACAGGAUUAAUAGUGAGAGAGAUAGCGGAUUUAUUGUCACAGAAGAGCUGUGUUGGAGAAGUCAAUGAGCAUCCUAUAUCACGAAGAACAAAGCUAAUCCAGCCCAAGAUAUGAGAUUGGAGCCAAGGUGAAGAGAGCUUCGAGAGUGAAUGAAGACUCCAAGAUUCAGAGUUCCUUUUACAUAUCUCAAAACUCUCUUGAGUCUAUGUAGGUCUGCUAUAGUUGGUUUUUGUAAUUUCUGACAUAGUUGAUUUGUAGCAUAUGCAACAUCAGGUCUUGUUAAAGUCAAAUACUGAAGGCCUCCUACUAGGCUUCGAUAUUCGAAAGGAUUGAAGAGUAGAUCAGAAUCAUUUAUCAGAACAGUGGGCUUCAAUGACACAGGAGUGGUGAUUGGUUUACACUCAAGCAUAUGAGCUCGAGUAAGAAGAUCCUUGGCAUAUUUAGUCUGGCAUAGAAACAGAUGAUCAGAGGUGUUUUUAACUUCAAUGCCAAGAAAGUAGUGUAAUGGUCCAAGAUCUUUCAUAUGGAACUGAAGACUGAGUGAAUGAAUAAGGUUGGAAAGAGACUGAGAGGAGC